rnacentral:rRNA from 1 species
CCUACGGGUGGCAGCAGUGAGGAAUAUUGGUCAAUGGCCGGAAGGCUGAACCAGCCAAGCCGCGUGAAGGACGAAGGUGCCAAGCAUUGUAAACUUCUUUUGUCAAGGGACAAAAUCAGGCUCGAGAGCAUGACCGAGGGUACUUGAAGAAAAAGACUCGGCUAACUCCGUGCCAGCAGCCGCGGUAAUACGGAGGAUGCGAGCGUUAUCCGGCUUGAUUGGGUGUAAAGUGUGCGUAGGCGGACUUUUAAGUCAGCGGUAAAAGCCCGGGGCUCAACCCCGGCGAGCCGUUGAAACUGGCUGUCUUGAGAUGUCGAGAGGUAUGCGGAAUGCGCAGUGUAGCGGUGAAAUGCUUAGAUAUUGCGCAGAACUCCGAUUGCGAAGGCAGCAUACCGGCGGCGAUCUGACGCUGAGGCACGAAAGCGUGGGUAUCGAACAGGAUUAGAUACCCGGGUAGUC